AGGCGCGUAGCUCAGUUGGUUAGAGCACCACCUUGACAUGGUGGGGGUCGUUGAUUCGAAUUCAAUCGCGCCUACCA
rnacentral:tRNA from 1 species